rnacentral:rRNA from 1 species
AUUGAACGCUGGCGGAAUGCUUUACACAUGCAAGUCGAGCGGCAGCGCGGGGGCAACCCUGGCGGCGAGCGGCGAACGGGUGAGUAACAUAUCGGAACGUACCCCGUCGUGGGGGAUAACACAGCGAAAGCUGUGCUAAUACCGCAUACGACCUGAGGGUGAAAGCGGGGGAUCGCAAGACCUCGCGCGAUGGGAGCGGCCGAUAUCGGAUUAGCUUGUUGGUGAGGUAAAGGCUCACCAAGGCGACGAUCCGUAGCUGGUCUGAGAGGACGACCAGCCACACUGGAACUGAGACACGGUCCAGACUCCUACGGGAGGCAGCAGUGGGGAAUUUUGGACAAUGGGGGCAACCCUGAUCCAGCCAUUCCGCGUGAGUGAAGAAGGCCUUCGGGUUG